AAUUGAAGAGUUUGAUCAUGGCUCAGAUUGAACGCUGGCGGCAGGCCUAACACAUGCAAGUCGAACGGUAACAGGAAGCAGCUUGCUGCUUUGCUGACGAGUGGCGGACGGGUGAGUAAUGUCUGGGAAACUGCCUGGUGGAGGGGGAUAACUACUGGAAACGGUAGCUAAUACCGCAUAACGUCGCAAGACCAAAGAGGGGGACCUUCGGGCCUCUUGCCAUCGGAUGUGCCCAGAUGGGAUUAGCUAGUAGGUGGGGUAACGGCUCACCUAGGCGACGAUCCCUAGCUGGUCUGAGAGGAUGACCAGCCACACUGGAACUGAGACACGGUCCAGACUCCUACGGGAGGCAGCAGUGGGGAAUAUUGCACAAUGGGCGCAAGCCUGAU
rnacentral:rRNA from 1 species